UACGUAGGGUGCGAGCGUAAUCGGAAUUACUGGGCGUAAAGCGUGCGUAGGCGGUUCUCCAAGUCCGUUGUGAAAUCCCCGGGCUUAACCUGGGAAUGGCAGUGGAAACUAGGGGACUUGAAUCUGGCAGAGGGGGGUGGAAUUCCACGGUGUAGCAGUGAAAUGCGUAGAGAUGUGGAGGAACACCGAUGGCGAAGGCAGCCCCCUGGGCUGAGAUUGACGCACUGGAGUGCACGAAAGCGUGGGGAGCAAACAGG
rnacentral:rRNA from 1 species